GUGAGGGGCUGGGCGAGAGGAGGGAGGGCGGAUGGGGAACGUGCGCCCCAAGAGCGAAGGCAAACAGCUGUGGAGGCGCUGCCCGGCUCAGGCUUCCCAACAGGUUAGCUAGACGGGGAUCCACCCGGCAUUUCGCAGGAAAAGGGAGGGGGGAGAGACUGAGCGUGAGGGGGAGAGAACCUCACAAGAGGACAGAGGGAGGGAGGGAGAGAU
rfam:Equus caballus chromosome 15, whole genome shotgun sequence.